UCAUUUUGUACAUUUCUAGGACAAGUAUUUCCGGACGGAGGGAGUAUUUGUUAUUUGUGUGUGUAACAGGGCAUCAGCAGACAGUAAUAAAGCCGGAAAGUGGAAGCUCGCCGUGUAUAAUUCGAAUUAUUACCCGACAUUCACUUUUUGCUCACCAGGUAACGACCCUUGAUGUCAGUGACUACAUAAUGAUGUAAUCAUAGAACUCCCAUCUAGCUGAAAAUAUUUAAAUCCGACAUCACACUUGUAUAUGAGGAUAUCCCAAGUUUCAUUCAUGUAUAGUCAAAGAAAUUUGAACACUGAUCUGAAAAAUGUAAAAGGAAUUCAGUAGAGCAUGUUAAUUUGUUACUAGUAGCAUCUUUUGCUUAUAAAAGCGCCAGAUUAUCGCUGUUACCUUGUAGAUUAAAUUGGGUAUAUAGAGCCAACAUUUGAGCACUAGCCCAUGGCCUGGAGGAUUCACUGUUUUGCCUGGACACGUGCUGCAGUGUUGUAGUUCCCGCCCUGCCGCACAUAAACCAAGAGCGCGAGCACUGCCGCGGCGAAUGGCACCACCAGUCCGCCAACCUUGGAGUACAAGUCCAUGGCGCCGCCGUCUUGUCCACCCUAAGAGAUAGGGUACAUGCCAACCGCGGAAGGCGGCUGAACCCAUAGACAUGCAUGUGGCAGCAGCGCCAUGUCGGUGAUUCCGGGCUGGCAUAGUAGCUCUUCCUCAGAGGCCAAUAGCUGACGCGCCACAGGGCGUUGCCCAUGACCUGCGGCAACAAUAACUACUCCCUUACCAGACCGAUGUACUGCUCCGCCAUGGUCGCCGUAUUGUACGAGGGUCGGCUAUGGGCACAGGCCCUGUGCUUGCUGGGGGUACACCACAUGCGGCGGCGGCGAUGGUGGCCGACAGCAUGGUGACACAGACGAUCCCCUCCUGCUCCAUGAGUCCGUUUGACAUCUCCCGGGCAUAAUAGGAGCUCGGUCCCGUUGAGUGUUAAGCACAGCGGGUCGCCGGCGGCCCUUGUGCUGGACAUAUGCACCUUGGCUGACGGGCUGAAGAGGGUAUUAUGGGAAGAAAAUGUCGUGAAUCUUUUAUCAUUUGAAAGUGUUGAAUGAAUCAUGUAUUAUUGAAACAGCAACACGGAUUGUGUACAUGCACACACGGCUACAUGAGCUAUAUAUCUUGUCCA